GCUGGGUGUUGUGGCGGGCGCCUGUAGUCCCAGCUACUUGGGAAGCUGAGGCAGGAAAAUCGCCUAAGCCCAGGAGUUGGAGGUUGCUGUGAGCUGUGACUCCACUGCACUCUACCAUGGGCAAUAAAGUGAGAUCCUGUCUCUA
rnacentral:SRP_RNA from 1 species